rnacentral:rRNA from 1 species
GUUAGCGGCAGGCUUAACACAUGCAAGUCGAGCGAGAAAGCGGUCUUCGGACCGUGAGUAGAGCGGCGGACGGGUGAGUAACACGUGGGUAAUCUGCCCUUCGGCGGGGGACAACAUUCCGAAAGGGAUGCUAAUACCGCAUACGUCGCCAAGGUCUGCGGACCAUGGCGGGAAAGCCGGGGAUCUCUUCGGAGACCUGGCGCCGAAGGAGGGGCCCGCGUCGCAUCAGCUUGUUGGUGGGGUAACGGCCUACCAAGGCAAUGACGCGUAGCUGGUCUGAGAGGAUGAUCAGCCACACUGGGACUGAGACACGGCCCAGACUCCUACGGGAGGCAGCAGUGGGGAAUAUUGGACAAUGGGCGCAAGCCUGAUCCAGCCAUGCCGCGUGAGUGAUGAAGGCCCUCGGGUCGUAAAGCUCUGUGGAGAAGGACGAAUGGCCGGUAGUUAAUACCUGCCGGUUUGACGGUACUUCUUUAGCAAGCACCGGCUAACUCCGUG